GAUGAAGAACGCAGCGAAAUGCGAUAAGUAAUGUGAAUUGCAGAAUUCAGUGAAUCAUCGAAUCUUUGAACGCACAUUGCGCCCGCCAGUAUUCUGGCGGGCAUGCCUGUUCGAGCGUCAUUUCAACCAUCAAGCCCCAGGCUUGUGUUGGAGCCCUGCGGCUGCCGCAGCCUCCCAAAACCAGUGGCGGGCUCGCUAUCACACCGAGUGCAGUAGUUUACUCUUCGCUCAGGGCGUGUGGCGGGUGCUAGCCGUAAAACCCCCAACUUCUCAAGGUUGACCUCGGAUCAGGUAGGAAUACCCGCUGAACUUAAGCAUAUCAAUAACGGAGGA
rnacentral:misc_RNA from 1 species